rnacentral:rRNA from 1 species
GAUGAACGCUGGCGGCGUGCCUAAUACAUGCAAGUCGAGCGAACGGACGAGAAGCUUGCUUCUCUGAUGUUAGCGGCGGACGGGUGAGUAACACGUGGAUAACCUACCUAUAAGACUGGGAUAACUUCGGGAAACCGGAGCUAAUACCGGAUAAUAUUUUGAACCGCAUGGUUCAAAAGUGAAAGACGGUCUUGCUGUCACUUAUAGAUGGAUCCGCGCUGCAUUAGCUAGUUGGUAAGGUAACGGCUUACCAAGGCAACGAUGCAUAGCCGACCUGAGAGGGUGAUCGGCCACACUGGAACUGAGACACGGUCCAGACUCCUACGGGAGGCAGCAGUAGGGAAUCUUCCGCAAUGGGCGAAAGCCUGACGGAGCAACGCCGCGUGAGUGAUGAAGGUCUUCGGAUCGUAAAACUCUGUUAUUAGGGAAGAACAUAUGUGUAAGUAACUGUGCACAUCUUGACGGUACCUAAUCAGAAAGCCACGGCUAACUACGUGCCAGCAGCCGCGGUAAUACGUAGGUGGCAAGCGUUAUCCGGAAUUAUUGGGCGUAAAGCGCGCGUAGGCGGUUUUUUAAGUCUGAUGUGAAAGCCCACGGCUCAACCGUGGAGGGUCAUUGGAAACUGGAAAACUUGAGUGCAGAAGAGGAAAGUGGAAUUCCAUGUGUAGCGGUGAAAUGCGCAGAGAUAUGGAGGAACACCAGUGGCGAAGGCGACUUUCUGGUCUGUAACUGACGCUGAUGUGCGAAAGCGUGGGGAUCAAACAGGAUUAGAUACCCUGGUAGUCCACGCCGUAACCGAUGAGUGCUAAGUGUUAGGGGGUUUCCGCCCCUUAGUGCUGCAGCUAACGCAUUAAGCACUCCGCCUGGGGAGUACGACCGCAAGGUUGAAACUCAAAGGAAUUGACGGGGACCCGCACAAGCGGUGGAGCAUGUGGUUUAAUUCGAAGCAACGCGAAGAACCUUACCAAAUCUUGACAUCCUUUGACAACUCUAGAGAUAGAGCCUUCCCCUUCGGGGGACAAAGUGACAGGUGGUGCAUGGUUGUCGUCAGCUCGUGUCGUGAGAUGUUGGGUUAAGUCCCGCAACGAGCGCAACCCUUAAGCUUAGUUGCCAUCAUUAAGUUGGGCACUCUAAGUUGACUGCCGGUGACAAACCGGAGGAAGGUGGGGAUGACGUCAAAUCAUCAUGCCCCUUAUGAUUUGGGCUACACACGUGCUACAAUGGACAAUACAAAGGGCAGCGAAACCGCGAGGUCAAGCAAAUCCCAUAAAGUUGUUCUCAGUUCGGAUUGUAGUCUGCAACUCGACUACAUGAAGCUGGAAUCGCUAGUAAUCGUAGAUCAGCAUGCUACGGUGAAUACGUUCCCGGGUCU